rnacentral:rRNA from 1 species
CUACGUGCCAGCAGCCGCGGUAAUACGUAGGGUGCGAGCGUUAAUCGGAAUUACUGGGCGUAAAGCGAGCGCAGACGGUUACUUAAGCAGGAUGUGAAAUCCCCGGGCUCAACCUGGGAACUGCGUUCUGAACUGGGUGACUAGAGUGUGUCAGAGGGAGGUAGAAUUCCACGUGUAGCAGUGAAAUGCGUAGAGAUGUGGAGGAAUACCGAUGGCGAAGGCAGCCUCCUGGGAUAACACUGACGUUCAUGCUCGAAAGCGUGGGUAGCAAACAGGAUUAGAUACCCUGGUAGUCCACGCCCUAAACGAUGUCGAUUAGCUGUUGGGCAACUUGAUUGCUUGGUAGCGAAGCUAACGCGUGAAAUCGACCGCCUGGGGAGUACGGUCGCAAGAUUAAAACUCAAAGGAAUUGACGGGGACCCGCACAAGCGGUGGAGCAUGUGGUUUAAUUCGAUGCAACGCGAAGAACCUUACCUACUCUUGACAUCCAGA